rnacentral:misc_RNA from 1 species
AACCCUAACUCGCACAGAUCAGGAGGAAAGAAGUUCAGAUUAGCACGACCAUGGAUUCCGCAGCGCGUAGAAGUGGAGGAGGCCUCUUUGAAGGGCUUUACAGAGUUAUUAUGCGCCGGAAUUCCGUUUAUGUCACCUUCAUUAUCGCCGGCGCUUUCGUUGGAGAGCGGGCUGUGGAUUAUGGAGUUCACAAGCUCUGGGAAUACAACAAUGUUGGGAAA